rnacentral:lncRNA from 1 species
GGGCUGUCCCGCUCGGAGCCAGCCGGGUGACGGGUGGUGGCGGUGCUGUCGCGGCAAGGGCCGUGUCCUGCCCCUCUGGGGAUCACGGCUGGGCAGGGGCGCCCUGUCGCCCAAGGGUGCUGAGCCGUGGCCCUCCAUGGGAGCCUCCUCCCGAGGGAUUUAGGCUCCGCCCGUGGCACACCGCAGCCCACGAGCAUGGCCCGUGUCUCCGAGGCGGAGGAAGGACCUGGCGGGGGACACAGCGAGUUCAGCGACAUCAUCAAGUCCAGAACAGGUAUUCAUUAAUCUGUUGAGUGCAUGGGACAGAUGCAUUAUCAAACGUGUCAAGAUUCCAGAGAGGAAUAACAUAAGAGUUAUGUAGCUUAAUCAUAGUUCCUUUUGGAGGAGGCAGCUCCUGUGCUGGGGAAGCAUUCUCUAGCAGCCCAGCAUCUUUUCAGGUGUGUGGGUCUUCUGCUGGAUAUGGAAGAAGUGGUGAAGAGCUGUUGAAACUCUCUCUGGUGGAAGAUGGUGACUGUACAUUUCAGUAAAAGACCAGCUGCUAUCUCAAAAGCACAGGACGCAUGAUGGGAGGAAAGGAUCUGGCUACAUGACAGAGAUUCCAUCUGAUACGUAUUCUUAAGGUUAUUCUGAUGAUCCGUAUAGGGAAUGUACAGCAGUACUUUUCAGCCAUACAUUGGUUAUGAAGUUCUUUUCUGGACUUCAACAUCACCUUGUUAUAAACCAUGAGGACCUGCCAUCCAAGAACUGAAAGAUUUUGUGGUGGAAUUAGACAAACAUAUGAGGACAGUCAAUGGCUUGUGCAUUUAGCUGUGGAGAAACGUGCAAUUAAGCCAUGAAAGAACAUGCUUUGAUGGAUCUAUGUAAUUCAUUCCACAAAUAACUUUAGUUAGUUCCCAUGUACUCUGCUUUUAUUUCCUAGCAUUGAAAUGUGGUUUUUUCCCGGCCCCCACCCCCUUCAAUUUAGAUCAUGGCAGAGGACCAAAGAUGGAAUAUGCUCCUAAAAUGUUAUAUAACAAUUUAUUGAUCAGAGAAAAGUGGUGUGAUGGGUAAGUUCUGAAAUGUUCUGCUAGCUAUUUUUGUUCUUGAUUUACCACACUACCCUGGACGAGCAAAGAGCAGCAGUCUGUGCAUGAAUAACAAACAGGGAUUUAUUUGAACAUUUUAUGGGAGUACACUGGGGAUAGAGCAAAGUUUUUUUGGUUUCUGUGUUGUUUUAAUGGUUGUAUUAUAAAAUGAUUGUAUUAACAGAAGAGAAUGAAUAAAAUAGUAUUUAAAGGCCAACAGACCAAAGCCUUUCUAUUGCUUCUUUCCAGGCUUUUACUUCUGUUAUGGCUUUAUAAUGAACAACAGUUAUGGUCAGCAUAAAUCAUUUCCAGAGAGAGUUCAUCACCCUUAUUUUCCUGGUUUCUACACGUACAUCUUGUUCUUGGAUAAG